rnacentral:lncRNA from 1 species
CUAAGGGAACAGAGGCAAAGGGGUCCCAGUGGAAAAUUCUGUAAGGACAUUAGAGAACUGUAAAUACUGGUGAUUAGUGUCAUAAACUGGCUUUGCUUGCAGAGCACGGUCGACAUCCCUCAAUCGCUGCAAUCUUCGGGAAACAAUUCCUUCCAAAAGCAAGUGGGAACUCAAAGCUAACACAGAGGUUUAUGUUGUGUGCUCGUAGCAUGUGCACUUUCUCUCAUUUGUGCAGACACUGA